rnacentral:rRNA from 1 species
CACGCCGUAAACGAUGGGCACUAGGUGUGGGGGGUGUCGACUCCCUCCGUGCCGCAGCUAACGCAUUAAGUGCCCCGCCUGGGGAGUACGGCCGCAAGGCUAAAACUCAAAGGAAUUGACGGGGGCCCGCACAAGCAGCGGAGCAUGUGGUUUAAUUCGACGCAACGCGAAGAACCUUACCUGGGUUUGACAUGGCUCUAUAACAUCUGGAAACAGGUGCCCUCUUCGGAGUAGAGUCACAGGUGG